GAUGAAGAACGCAGCGAAAUGCGAUAAGUAAUGUGAAUUGCAGAAUUCAGUGAAUCAUCGAAUCUUUGAACGCACAUUGCGCCCCCUGGUAUUCCGGGGGGCAUGCCUGUUCGAGCGUCAUUUCACCACUCAAGCCUCGCUUGGUAUUGGGCAACGCGGUCCGCCGCGUGCCUCAAAUCGACCGGCUGGGUCUUCUGUCCCCUAAGCGUUGUGGAAACUUUCGCUAAAGGGUGUUCGGGAGGCUACGCCGUAAAACAACCCCAUUUCUAAGGUUGACCUCGUAUCAGGUAGGGAUACCCGCUGAACUUAAGCAUAUCAAUAAGCGGAGGA
rnacentral:misc_RNA from 1 species